GAUGAAGAACGCAGCGAAAUGCGAUAAGUAAUGUGAAUUGCAGAAUUCAGUGAAUCAUCGAAUCUUUGAACGCACAUUGCGCCCCUUGGUAUUCCGAGGGGCAUGCCUGUUCGAGCGUCAUUAUAACCCCUCAAGCUCAGCUUGGUGUUGGGGCCUGCUGCACUGGCAGCCCUUAAAAUCAGUGGCGGCGCCAUCUGGCUCUAAGCGUAGUAAUUCUUCUCGCUAUGGAGUCUUGGUGGAUGCUUGCCAUCAACCCCCAAUUUUUCUAUGGUUGACCUCGGAUCAGGUAGGGAUACCCGCUGAACUUAAGCAUAUCAAUAAGCGGAGGA
rnacentral:misc_RNA from 1 species